rnacentral:rRNA from 1 species
UACGUAGGGUGCGAGCGUUAAUCGGAAUUACUGGGCGUAAAGCGUGCGCAGGCGGUUAUAUAAGACAGAGGUGAAAUCCCCGGGCUCAACCUGGGAACUGCCUUUGUGACUGUAUAGCUUGAGUGCGGCAGAGGGGGAUGGAAUUCCGCGUGUAGCAGUGAAAUGCGUAGAUAUGCGGAGGAACACCGAUGGCGAAGGCAAUCCCCUGGGCCUGUACUGACGCUCAUGCACGAAAGCGUGGGGAGCAAACAGG